rnacentral:rRNA from 1 species
UACAGAGGGGGCAAGCGUUGUUCGGAAUCACUGGGCGUAAAGCGCACGUAGGCGGAUCUUUAAGUCAGGGGUGAAAUCCCGAGGCUCAACCUCGGAACUGCCUUUGAUACUGGGGAUCUCGAGUCCGGGAGAGGUGAGUGGAACUGCGAGUGUAGAGGUGAAAUUCGUAGAUAUUCGCAAGAACACCAGUGGCGAAGGCGGCUCACUGGCCCGGAACUGACGCUGAGGUGCGAAAGCGUGGGGAGCAAACAGG